UUCAGUAAUAAACAUUUAGUGUGCAAAAACUUUUAGUACAUCUAAACUAUAGUAACUUGUGUCUUCCUUACAAGUGGUGUCAUCCACCAUUCUUUCUCUCCCCUCUUAAAAAGUGGGAAAAGGAAGACUGCUGGACCACACCACAAGUUAUAACAACAAAAAAAGGUUCAUUCAAACUUUACUCUGCUGCAUGGACUGUAUCAGCUUGUAUUCAGGCAGGUCAAGUUGGGCGAUACAAGUGUGUGCUGGAAGGAAGCUGUCAUCUGCUGGCUUUUGGAUUAUCAACCUGGAAGCCUGGAAGUGAUAGAAAGAAGGAAGAGGAGAAGAUAGAUGAUAAUAAGGAGGGAAGAAAGAGAAAGAGAGAGAGAGAAGACAACAAAGAAGGAAGAGGACAUGAGAGAAGAAUGAGGAUAAUAGAAGAGGAAGAAAAAAAGAAGAAAUGAGAGAAAGAUAGAAAAGAUAAAUAAAAGAAAAAUAAAUCCUCCCCCCUGCCCCCCUUUCUCUCUCUCUCUCUCUCUCUCUCUCUCUCCCACAAUCCACAGACCCACAGUAUGUCUCCCACAGUAUGUUGACAAACCCAGUCACUCCCCACAGCCUCUCACAAAUAUACCCCUCUCUCUCUCUCUCUCUCUCUCUCUCUCUCUCUCUCUCUCUCUCUCUCUCUCUCUCUCUCUCUCUCUCUCUCUCUCUCUCUCCAUGCCUAAGAGAGGAACCUGGUCAGUCCCUGCGAGAAAUUUUGCAACAUUUUCUGUUCAAGCAAGAGUUCAUUAAAGACUUCCCAUUCCCAAACAGUACAAAUGACUGGAUGGUCUGGAAAGUAUUCACUCUGGAAAUACAGUGAGGGGUUAAUGAAAGGAAGAAUAUUGGAAAA